rnacentral:rRNA from 1 species
UACGAGGGGAGCUAGCGUUAUUCGGAAUUACUGGGCGUAAAGCGCACGUAGGCGGCUUUGUAAGUUAGGGGUGAAAGCCCGGGGCUCAACUCCGGAAUUGCCUUUAAGACUGCAUCGCUUGAAUCCAGGAGAGGUGAGUGGAAUUCCGAGUGUAGAGGUGAAAUUCGUAGAUAUUCGGAAGAACACCAGUGGCGAAGGCGGCUCACUGGACUGGUAUUGACGCUGAGGUGCGAAAGCGUGGGGAGCAAACAGG